AGAGUUCCUUAAUGAGGAGUUGGGAGAGGAAGGAUCCUCAUUAUUCCCUCUUCGCUACCUCCUCUCUACAACCCCAUUCCAAAGCGACUGACCUUCAACAGAAUGUAUUUCUAUAAAGAUAAAAACAACGAAACUCCCAAGACGUCUAUAUUUGGAAUAUACAGGGAAAACUAGGAAUUUAAUAGCUGAGUUCACGUCCUGCCAACAAAACUUAGAAGGAAUCAACAAACUUCAAGUUCAGGCGCAUAUGUGGUACCCUGUGGCCUAGCGAGAAGAUCGCAGAUGACAUGGGAGGCCUUCAUCUUCUGCAUCUGUCCGACCUUUUCAGCUCCUCUUCUGGUCACUCUGUCAAGGGGGCCUGGAACUCCUGAGAAGUGAAAGGACCAGCCCUAUCUCAGAUGGUGCGGGUUUCUUCGCCCUGACCUCUGCCAUGUUUGCUUGGAGCCCCAGAGCUCAUCCUUCAAGGCCUUUUUAAAAAUAGCACAGCCUCUGUCAAGCCUUCUUGAAAAAUUAAAUUUUUUAUUGUAAAAACUUUCAAACAUAUAAAGAAUGUGAAAGAAUAGGCAAUUAUCUGUAUACUCAUCACCCACAUUCAAUAAUUAACAUUUUGCCGUCUUAGCCUCAUCUACCUAUUUCUACUGAAUCAUAUGAAACUCACUUGCAGACAUUGUGAUAUAGAACACCAAAAUCCAUAAACAUGUGUCGCCUAAA
ensembl:lncRNA novel transcript